AGCGUAGGCGGUACGGCAAGUCUGAUGUGAAAGCCCGGGGCUCAACCCCGGUACUGCAUUGGAAACUGUCGGACUAGAGUGUCGGAGGGGUAAGUGGAAUUCCUAGUGUGGCGGUGAAAUGCGUAGAUAUUAGGAGGAACACCAGUGGCGAAGGCGGCUUACUGGACGAUCACUGACGCUGAGGCUCGAAAGCGUGGGGAGCAAACA
rnacentral:rRNA from 1 species